rnacentral:rRNA from 1 species
GAUGAACGCUGGCGGCGUGCCUAAUACAUGCGAGUCGAGCGAACAGAUGAGGAGCUUGCUCCUCUGACGUUAGCGGCGGACGGGUGAGUAACACGUGGAUAACCUACCUAUAAGACUGGGAUAACUUCGGGAAACCGGAGCUAAUACCGGAUAAUAUAUUGAACCGCAUGGUUCAAUAGUGAAAGACGGUUCUGCUGUCACUUAUAGAUGGAUCCGCGCCGCAUUUGCUAGUUGGUAAGGUAACGGCUUACCAAGGCAACGAUGCGUAGCCGACCUGAGAGGGUGAACGGCCAGCCUGGAACUGAGAGACGGUCCUGACUCCUACGGGAAGCAGCGGUAGGGAAUCUUCCACAAUGGGCGAAAGCCUGACGGAGCAACGCCACGUGAUUGAUGAAGGUCUUCGAAUCGGAAAACUCUGUUAUUAGGGAAAAACAAAUGUGUAAGUAACUAUGCACGUCUUGACGGUACCUUAUCAGAAAGCCACGGCUGACUACGUG